AAAAUGAAGCCGAGACACGAUAAUUUAUGAAGUGCUCAUGUUUGGUUUGGUAUCAAUUGAGACUAAGCAUCUUCCACCUACGAUCUCUGUGUGAUGGAAUGAUAACGUGUGUUCUCAUGUUACAACGCAUAAAGUGAGAUACUUACUCUUGUCCGUUGUCAUGGUAGCUGAAGGCACUCACAAACACUUUGUUAGCGGGAGCAUUAUAGUUAAUGAGUCCUCUCCAGUUAUUGAUCAGUGAAUUUGGACAACUCACAACUCUUCGUUUGAUGACAAGAAGCCUUGCAACACUUAAACUGCCACAAUCUAUCCUCUCUGUGAUUGUUAUGGAUACUCUUCACUCCGGACAUCAUGUAGUCAGUAGGACAAAGAGGAAAGGCUGGUCCCAUACCGUAUAGCGGGACAUUUUUGUGGGGUGCAAAAUUUCGCGUUUUUCGAGGGCAGAGCAAUUAACGCGAAAAUUAAAACUCCCACACACCGGUAUUUCACAUGCAAAGCUAUUGGUGGGUGUGGUUUCCUAGCAUUUAAACUCAGAACCCACGAAAAUUUCUGUUGAGCAAAUAGCGAAAAUUUGCACCCGUGAAAAUUUCCUGCUAUACGGUACCCAGACAUAAUUACAAAGGAAUUGAAAACGUCUAUCUCUGUGGUGAUUAUCCUGACUCGAUUCAGAAAGAGCCUUUUUUGAUACAAUUGACGUGCAGUGGCUGGACGAAGUUAUUCUGGUACCCCUCAGCAGAGAACACCGAUACGAAAAGCAACAUUCCAACAAAGGUUUGCCAGUUCCUACAAUUAAUGCAAAGGUGGUGAAAAUUGCCCAUUCGAGUACGGUAAUUGACUCACAUUGUCCAAGAAUUUCUUUUCUUUUUCUUCUUGUGAUCAGCUCCGCAAUGCUCCUUUGUUGCUUAUAUGAAGUAAAUGAUAUCUUGUCUUUCUUUUAUUAGCAAUAGGAUCACGAUCAUGCAGUGUUUUGGUUUAGCUACAGUCUAUAGAGAGUAGAAUACCAAAAUAGGUGAGUAGUUGUACUUCAAUGUAUCUCAAGAUCGGAACAUUUCUAAGAAAUUGUGCUGAUACCAUUGUAUAGGUGAAUGAAUAAGCUACAACAUUAUUCAAAAAUAUUUCCCCAAAAGUUGUUGUAGUGGGAAAUCAUUUUAGGUGAAAAUGGGGGUGAUCGUAAAAAAAAAUGUGUGUAACAUAAAUUAUCGGUUCCGGAACUAAAAUAUUUCUGGACACAUUUUUCUUAUCAAAAAUUAGACAAUUUAUUCAAGCUAACUCGGUGAAAUUUUGGACCUUAGCUGUAAGAUUUUCUUUAAAUCUCUCCCUAACCGAAACGGCACUAAAAACUAGCAAUUUUGAGCACUGCGGUGGAUGUGUAGAUAUUUAAGCAAUAUCGAACCUUUCAAACUAUCUAUAGAUGUUGUAACAAAUUUCCAAACCUUAGCCGGAAACCGUUGGCCUUUUCUCUCCCUAACCGAUUACCCACUAUAACAAUUGGGUACUGUUUUAUUAGUCACCACAAACCCACCACCUUAUGUUGUCAUGGAAACAUUUUGGAUUAUGUUGUUGCUUAUUCAUUCACUUACGUGACAAUGGUAUCAGCAGAUUUUCUUACCAUCAUAAGAUAUUUACAUUUAAGUACAACUACUCACUCUUUUGUGGUAUUCUACUCUAGACUGAAUGCACUGUAUGUAACUGUUUGGGAAAGUUCUUGCCGUGAAGUAAUUAUUAUACGUGCAUUUUGUGCCAUAAAAACUGCCUAAUUGUGCCUAACAAGGAACAAAUUAGAGAUAUCUGACAUUCCAUUACUACUGAUCUAUGAAAUCAAACAUUUCUUCAUGAUUACUGUGUGGACAGACUAGUCUUAGCAAUAUAUACUAGACUAUCUAUAUUCAGUUUCACUACAUGUCAUUGAUUUUAGAUCCACUUAGCUUGCUCUCUAAUUUCUGGUAGUCACACUCCAGAAUCUUCUAUGCACAUGCACAGACAAUUUCUGUAAACAGGAGAGUCACAAGUCAUGCGCAUUUCAUUCACCUUGAUCAGAUACUAAUGUAAUUACUCACUCUCUGCCAUUGUCAUGGUAGAUAGAACACCAGCUAUAGUAAAGACGGUAGAAGAACGAAAAUUCAUAUGCGUAUCCCAUUUAUUGAUGUAAACAGUUAAUCGGAAAUUCUUGGCUUUGUAUAGCCACUAUGCAUGCAUGGGGAUUGGGUCUCUUAAAAACGAAGCCAAGAGACAUGAUAACUUAUUAGCUUUGUUUCAGUGGUUUGUCCAGGCUCAUUAAUGUGACAGCUCUGGGAAAACCAGACUAUUGGAGCAGGCUAAAAUUUUGGUGAUUAAUGUACCAAAUGAUAGAGUAGAGCAUCGCCUACACACAAUGAUAUGCAUGUUUAGUGUUCACAUACCUAUAGUUUCAUACCAGAGUUAUGCGCGUUAGAAACUUGAAGCCGUAAAAUGAGUAAAAAACGCCUCUCAAAAAUUGCUCAAUUAGGAAAAAUAAGGUAGAAAAAAUAAUAGCGAAGUUUGGACGUCGAUGGAAAAAAUUGGAUUUAGAGUAUCAGAUUUUACUGAGAGGUAGUAGAAGGACUGCAGAAUAACAUUUUUUUAGAUUUUAUACUGUAGGUAUAAAUUUAGCUGUAGCUCAAUACUAAAUUCUGCUCCAAUAGUCUGGUUUUCCCAGAGCCUGUCACAAUUUAUUAUGUAUCAAUUGAGACCUUUUAAUGAGGUAUAACUGGAGGUAGAUAGACUUCAUCCUCACCAUGCUGGCAAAAUUAUAGAUCUAUAGCUUAUACAUGUCAAUCAGGCAUUGAGGUUUAUAUAAUAAUAGUGGUGACAAGUCAUUUUACGUUCCUGCAUGAUAACACAAGGAAAUCAUUUUUGCCUGAGAGUGCCCAACAGCUCCAGCUACUAUAAUGUUUGUACUACUAACUUUAAGCUAUAUAUUUCUGUUCAGUUCAUGUGUAAAAGACCAUGCAUGCAACAUUAAGAUGAAUCGACACCAUGCAUGUAUAAAAAUUGUUGGCACAGGCUCUGCUUUAUACUAUAUUCACAUGCACUGCAGCAUCUUCCACUGACGGUCUAUGUGAUGGAAUGAUACGUGUUCUCAAGUUACAAAACGCAUAAAUUGAUACUUAUAUACUCUUUUCCAUUAAUUGUCAUGGUAGCUGAAGGCACCCACAAACACCUUGUAUAUAGCGGGAGCUGUAUAUAGCUAAUGAGUCCUCUCCAGUUAUUGAUAAAGUUAGACAAUUAACUCACAACUUUUUGUUUGAUGACUUACAACACUUAAACUGCCACAAUCCUCUUUGCCAUUGUCAUGGACACUCUUCACUCCGGACAUCACAUGGUUAGUAGGACACUGGAAGAGCAGAGGCUGGUCCCAUUGAUUCUCAUACCCGGUCCAGAGAAAUCGUAAGACGUAAUGCUUUCAAUUGGCAAAGGAAUUGAAAAACGUCUAUUCCUGUGGGGCCUAUUAUAGACUCCUGACUCCAGAAAGAGCGGUUUUGAAUUGACAAUCGACGCUCACUAGCUGUCAGUGGCUGGUCAAAGUUAUUCUGGUACCCUCAGCAGAGAACACUGAGACGAAAAGCGGCAGUCCAACAAUUGAUGCAAGGGGGUGAAAAUUGCAUUUGAGUAAUUUUAACACUCACAUUGUCAAAGAAAUUUCUACUUUCUUCUUGUGAUCAGCUCCGCAAUCCUCCUAAUUGUUGUUUAGUGUGCAUGCAGUGAGUGCAUGACAUAUCGUAUGUCUUCUUAUACCAAUAGAAUCGCGCAGCCUGAGCGCUAAAGGUUCGAUUAGUGUUUUGGUGUUUAGCUAUGUAAAGCUCUAGCCUCGAUCCCAGGCCGAGUUUUCGCUUUUAUAACGGUUAGGCGAACAACUGGGCCUGGUACUAGUUGUCUGCGCAUGCGUCAAUCGUUGGUCAGAUUCUGACGAAUGGAUAUUCUCGUUCACUUUCGUGACAUUUAUAUUCGUGUACUAUCGUGUACUAGAAGUCAGUUCCCGUUUUAUCAUUAUUGGAAUCGAUUGGAAUGGCUCUUAGCUGAAGCUUCUCUCUUCUCUGAAGCUUAUUCUGAAGACUGAACAACAAGGGAAGAGGUAUAAAGCUUUGUCAAGCUUGUUAAGGUCAGAUAUUUUUGUGUGGGCCCUAUGGCCGGCUAUGCUAUCAAGUCUUGUUCAUGUUUGGCAAGAAUGUAGGUAGACUAUAGUUUCAUCAUUAAUAUGGUGGAUCAAGUGAAGAGUGUGAGCUAGAGAACUUGGUGCUGCCAUCAUUAGCUCGUCGACAAUGACACUAUAACCGAGAAAUUUAAUAUGUAUAGAUCUACACGUAUUUAAAAUGUCUACUUCUCUGUACAGGAGCAAUGGCUAAUAUCCAGCUAUCCCAACAGUGCUCCUCUUGGCUAUACUAACGGACGAGACUGGACAGUUUGAGACACAGGACUGGAGUAUGACCUGCUCAUUCGAGCGUUGCUGGGUAGCUCAGAGACAUCAAGAGAAUCUACAUUUUCUCAAGCAAUGAGUUACGAGUUGGGGCCUAGAAUCAGAGAAGUCCAGCAGCCUGCUAAAUCUUUUUGAAACGUAAUUUGAAGGCAUUCAAUCAUCCUGAAGUUGCCCUGGGUCACUGUAAUUGUGCUGCAGCACAACUGGCAACUCCCCAGGCCUUUGUGAAGCAGCUCCCUAUGUGCAUCUUUUGUGUACUCACUCUGUGCAUUUUCUGUGUACAAAUUUUGAUUAUUGAUUUAUUAAAUAUUUUUGCCGACCACAAAUAUACAAUGAAAA